GUAUCAAAAUGUUAGCAUCCACAACUACUUGACCAAUAAGGACUUUGAGUCUCUCUCCAUGGAGACCUAGGUUGCAGAAAUGAAUCCUGACCAAGUACCUAAAGCCAACAUCCACCGGUGUAUUCCAGUGGUAUUGUCUAUAGACACAAGAGCUUUGUGGCCUACCACUUGGGCUCGAUGAUCUCUUCCUUUCAAAUGUUCCUAUGUGCAAAUGUUCAAACUUUGUGGCCUACCACUUGGGCUCGGUGAAUCAUUUUCAGACUUGCCUCUUGACCAAUGUGCAAAUGUUCCAUUACAUUGAAGAAAAAAAAUGUUAUGUUCUCUAUUUAUCAAUCCAUUAGAAAUUGAAAUGCGUCCUUGUUUUGUCGUGAAUGCAAUGUCAAGUAGUUUAAUGAUGCUCCGCUGAUGGAGACUGGAAACUGAAUGAAUCUCAUUUUUGAACCAAGUGAAUUGGUCUUGUGAUGAAGAAUAUCUCUUAACUGCAGCUGUCCUUCCUGUGGAUAACACAACCUAUACGAAGAUUCAGAUUAGAAUUAGUUUGGCGAAGGAUAAACUCAUUGCAUUAUCGAAAGGAAUAAAAAUGGGAAAUAAUCAGCCUUGACAUGGUCACCUUGUAGACGCGAGCAAAUGCACCUUUUCCCGCCAUAAUCCAUUGCUAAUUUUACUCCCCCUUGUUAUUCCGCCAUAGAUGGCCGUCCGCCUUAAAAAUCUUUCCUUAAAUAGCACAUUUUUUUGGGUUAUUUUCUUGAUCUUGGCGAUCUUAUAAUUACUUUGAAAUAAAAGUUUAACAUGAAGUAUUGUGCAUUUUUCUGGUUUAAGUGUUUGAACAUGCCUACCUUAAGCUAUGAUUAUGUAAUUCAAUGCAGAUAAUCCUAGAUUUGAUUGCAUGAUUGUAAUGAGAUAAUAUGUUUCACAUAAUAAUUCUGCGAAUGGAUAGACGUAAAAAGUAAUAGAUGGUUGCUUGAUUACAUAUCAUCCUGUUCAAUGAUCAUGAUUCUGAUUGUAUACGUAUGUGUAAACCCUUUCUUGAAGUUCUCUUCAAUCUCGAACAACAAAUUUGAAGCGUACAAUACAAGUGCAGUGUGUAAACGCACCACAAAUUCCUGUUACCUGAUCUGCAGUUUUAUCUGUUUCUUUUUUUAUUCUUCUCUAAAUGAAGUUCUGUCAAAAUAAAACUGACAGUUUCAUCUUUCCAGCGUUUCAAUGAGCUCCAUCGUUGCGUUGCUGACAGGUUCAUUACUGUGUACACCACCAGUUGGUACAUCUUCUCUAGGGAGUGGUGGCUUUUGUACCUCUACUUUCGGCUCCACUUGUGGCUCAUCGCCUUCCUGAAUCUUGAGAACACAAGGCAUCUCGGGUCUGCAGUUUGGGUCCCGUUGUGUGUGCACAGCAGACCAACUUGAAUGCAUCUUAGUGCUUCAUCCACUGGAAAUGCACCUCCAAGUAAUUUGUCUACUAGUUUUAAUGGAUUCGCAUCGCUCCAGAGCUUCCACGCCUAGAAAACGACCGUGGUUCAUAGACUGAUCAUUACUUUGUAUUUACAUAACUAUAUGCAUGUUUUUUUCAUUGGUACUUACAUAGCUAGGAAGGAAUUUCAUGGCCUCCCCAUAAGCUAUAUUCCAGACUCUCCUGCUGCUUACAAUCUCUAGGACUAUAAUUCCAAAACUAUAGACAUCUGAUUUUAGUGAAAGUCACCAACCAACCUAUAAAAGUCUCUAGGCUUCUAUUUUCCAUGAACUCGUAUAUGCGAGCAACUUUUCAUCUCUAUGAGUGCAAUGGCCUAGUAAUUUUAUGACGUUCCGAUGCUGAAGACUUGAAAGCAAAAGAAUCUCAGAUUUAAAAUCCUGUAGAGCUUGUGAGGAUGCUGGUGAUUGCCUUUUAACUGCAACUACUUUUCCUGUAGGUAGCACAGCCUAUAAAAAUGCAUGGUUCAGUUAGGGGGAGGUUUUGAAAAUGAAACUUGUUAUAACGAUUGGUCAUUCAAGAAACAACUUACCUUAUAAACUUUGCCAGAUCCUCCACGACCGACUAUAUUUGAAGAUGAGAAACGAUUGGUGGAAGCUGCAAUUGUAGCCCAACUAAACUUGGGCAGUGGUAUGUCUGCUUCAAAAAUUUCUGCUUUUCCAGCAGAAACUUGAAUAUGGAUAUUGGUUUUACUAUGGUGCUUUCCAGAUGAAAACAACUCACUUUUCUUGGAUGGUUUAACUCUGUUCCAAAGUUCCCCCCAGAGCCAAGGCCGUGGUGGCUUAUUCAUUAAUGCAUUCCUCGCGAGUUUCUUUUCUGAUGGAACAUGAUGAGCACUAACAACAUUGCUGUUAGUUUGUUGUUUUCUCGACAGAGUGGCUUUCUGUAGAUAUGUUGAGGCAAUUGUUGGCUCCCUUGUGUUAGCUGGAAGAUCAGUUUCAGUAUCAGGGACGCUUUGCUGGAUGUUGAAUUCAUAUAUGGGUCCUACGAUAGUCGUAGAGAUCCAAGAAUUUUCAUGUACAUAUGAUUUUUCGAUAUAAACUAUUGCUGGAUGUUGAAUUCAUUACUGUCCUUUUCUCUGGUAA